rnacentral:lncRNA from 1 species
GGUUAUUCAGCUACCCUAAAGAAUAACGAAAAAGAAAGAAAACAAGCUUCUCCUCUCUCCCUUUUUUGCGCUGUUCUCGGGCUAAACCGUCCACGGGUCCUCCGGUAGCCUCGACUCCGACGAGAACGACUAUGGGAUCACCGAGGUAAGUAUUCACUCCUUCUUAACUUGUUUUCAUUAUUUGUUAAAAGAAAGUAAAAAAGAACGAAAUCGAGAAAGAAAACAAUAAAAGUGCCGGAUCUACCUUUAAAAAAACGAUUUUAGAGAAAAGUUCCCUUUUGUAUUCAAUAUCUGUAUGCUUUUUUUGUAUAUUCGAUCGUCCCCCCUUUUUUACAAUGUUCUUUGGUCUUUUUAUAGUAUCUAUUUACAAUAAAAAGAAAAGAAAAUCCAAAAAUAAAAAUCUACCAAUCGCCCUCGCUCUGCCUUUUUAUUUUUCUCUGUGCCCCUUUUUUGUUUUGUGGUCUGUUUUCUACUGCGUUUGCUCGUCUCUGGCAGGUACUGUGUGUAGAGGUUGCGGAUGUGGCAUGUACGGAGGCGAAGGCGCACGUACGAGGCUCGUGCGAGCGGUGCUACGUGCAUGCGAGGGGACGUUUGCUGCGGUGCUGGUUGGGGCUGAUGCUAGGGUUUCCUCUUCUAUUGUAAUCGGGUCUGGGCUAGGUUGAUUUGGGCUUGUUAUAUUGGGUUUAGUUUGUUUAUCGGGCCUUUGUAUUAUUUUGGUAACUGAUCUGGGCCAAUUUGUAAAUGGACCUUUUCGCACUGAAUUUAAUAUUUUUCCUUUUUUGUUUUGAUUUUUUUUAUUUUUUUAAUGGGCCCCGGGCAAAUUGGGCCUGUUACAGCUGCUCCUCUUUGCUCAUUGUCGUGUAACAGGAAUAGAGCAAAGACUAAAAAGAACCAAUUUUUCCUGGUUGUGCUUGGACUUUGGUGCUCCUCUUUUUCGAGUUGCCUCAUUACAUCCUACUGUAUCUGCAGAGGUAUUGGAAUUGGUACUUCGAUUCACUCCACUGCAACGUCGGGGAGAUAGGAUUACUAGCUUCAAUCUUUUCGGUAUUCCCUUGCUGGUCAAGGAAAUAGGACUUGUGGCUUAAAUCUGUUUCCCUACUCCUGGGGAAGAUGAGAUUCGCCGUUUUCGAUCUGCUCCGCUACUGAUUAGGGAGGUAAGAUCUGCAAUCUCCAACCUAUUCCACUGCUGGUCAGGGACAUAAGACGUGUGGCUUAAACCUAUUUCCUUACUCUUGGGGAAGAUAAGAUUCACCGUCUUCGAUCUGCUCCGCUACUGUUUAGGGAGGCAAAAUCUGCAAUUUCCAACCUAUUCCACUGCUGUUCAGGGACAUAGGACUUGUGGCUUAAAUCUGUUUCCCUACUCCUGGGGAGAAUAAGAUUCGUCGCUUAGAUUUGUUUCCUUACUCCUGGGGAAAAUAAGAUUCUCCACUUAGAUCUAUUUCCCUAGUUCUGGGGAAGAUAAGAUUCGCCGCUUAGAUCUGUUUCCCUACUCCUGGGGAAGAUAAGAUUCGCCGCUUAGAUCUGUUUCCCUACUCAUUGGGAAGAUAAGAUUCACCGCUUAGAUCUGUUUCCCUACUCUUGGGGAAGAUAAGAUCCGCAAUAUUCACUGAUAUGUUCUCUAGGGAACAUAACAUGUGUAAUGAACCUAUUUAUGCCUAAUAGUUAGGAUGGCAUGAUCAGAAUAAAUCUAAUGCUCCUAACUAGACAUGAGUGAAUGGUAUUUUCCUGAAUGCAAUAUGUUGUCGUAUUAGUCAAAAUCUUAUUUAAGGCUUUUAUCAUAACCGCGCUUUAACACCCUCCUUCCUGGUUGGUGCCCUCAACAAAAAAUUUAAUUAAAUUGCCCCCGCUGUAAGCCUUCAAGCUCAAUUCAUUGGGUUGUGUUCAAUAUGCAACUCAAAAAAAUGGGGAGCUCUGGUCCUUUCUUCAUAUUCUAUCACAAUUGAAGGAUACUGAACGUGUAAACCUUUGGUAAACCACUCUCAGGAUGUCAUGCUUAGCACAAAGAAUUUUCCUCCAAGGAGAUCUCUCUUUUCUAACUCAUGACUAUUGCUGACAUUUCAUUCAAUUGACGCUUCCGUCAAUGAAGUCCGAAGGGACUGUUUAAAAUCAUAUUUUUUCUUAGAUUUCUGCCCUUUAAAUUUGGUUCAUUCUAAACAAUAGUCCUGUUUCAGAUUAUUGUAUUAUUUAGAAAAUUUUAGAGUAAUGUGCAAAACUUACUUUGUGAAAGUUCGGUAGUCCAUUAAUCAUUAUUCCAAUGCAACAUUUUACUGAAAGAUUAUGACUAUGGAUAAAUGUUGGUUCUAAGCAUAGCUCGAAAGAAAUAAAAUAUCAACAAUAGGGAGAGAAGAAUAACAAAUAAGUUGAUUGAGAAUGUGUAUAAUGAUAAAAUGUAUUAACACAUUCAAUACAAUAAGAACUAGGUGCCCAAGUUAUCGCAGUUUGAAUUUCUCUGUACAAACUUCCGAAGGCUAUUCUAAGUUUAGCAUGUGUUUAGGAGAUCUGCAGUACUCUGUCGAUGCUCCAAGAUAUCGUAUGCCCUUUCUUGUUGGUUCAGGUAUAGCAAGAUUAUCGUGUGCCCUGAUCAAAAUUUGAACAGUUCCAAUCUUCUCAUGCCCUUCUCUGACCAAUAUUUGAGCCGCCCUUUCUCAGCUUUUCGACUCAAAUCCCCUUUGAUCUCAAUGCGUCCUUUGCGGGUUUUCACAUUGGCCUCUCCAAAAUUUUUUUUUUAGGAAGCAAAUGCCCUUUGCGGGUUUUAACUUUGGUCCCCUUCUUUCAAGUGAAGUAUUUUUUUACAGAAUCUGCGUUUACGGGGUUUGGCAAACUUUUACCAUCCAUCUCACUUAGGAUCAAAGCUCCACCAGAAAAGGUCUUCUUUACAACAUAAGUACCCUCCCAAUUUGGCAUCCAUUUUCCUCUAAAGUCCUUUUGCAUAGGAAGGAUCUUUUUUAGCACCAAAUCUCCUUCGCGAAAUUCUCUAGGGCGAACCUUUUUGUCGUAGGCUCGCAUCAUUCGUUUCUGGUACAAUUGCCCAUGGUGAAUGGCUCUCAACCUCUUCUCCUCUAUUAGGUUCAACUGAUCAUAGCGAGAUUGGACCCACUCGGCUUCGUCCAACUGGAGUUCAGAUAAUACCCGUAGAGAGGGGAUCUCAAAUUCAAUGGGUAGUACUGCCUCCAUUCCAUAAACUAGAGAAAAAGGUGUUGCCCCGGUAGAAGUUCUAACAGAUGUUCGAUAGGCUGGGAGAGCAAAUGAUAACUUCUCAUGCCAAUCUUUGUAAGUCUCAGUUAUUUUCCCCACAAUUCUUUUAAUAUUCUUAUUGGCCGCCUUUACUGCACCAUUCAUUUUUUGACGAUACGGCGAUGAGUUAUGAUGCUUGAUCUUAAAUUGGUUACAAACCUCAUCUAUUGUGUUAUUGUUCAAAUUCAGCGCAUUGUCGGAUAUGAUUCUCUCAGGCAUUCCAUAUCGACAAAUGAUCUCCUUUUUCAAGAAUUUGCAGACUGCUGACUUCUUGACAUUUUCGUAUGAAGCAGCUUCUACCCACUUGGUGAAGUAAUCAAUGACUACAAAGAUAAAACGAUGCCCAUUAGAAGCCUUUGGUGAUAUUGGCCCAAUGACAUCCAUACCCCACAUGGAAAACGGCCAUUGAGAGGUCAUAACAUGAAGUGGCAAAAGGGGUGCAUGCAUCCUGUCUCCAUAAAUCUGACAUUUAUGGCAUUUCUUGGCGUAAUUAAUGUAAUCCCCUUCCAUAGUGGACCAAUAGUAUCCAAAUCUCAUGAUCUGUCUGGCCAUGGUGAAACCAUUGGCGUGCGUCCCACAGAUACCCUCAUGGACCUCCUCCAAAAUUUUUUUAGCUUCCACGGCAUCCACACAUCUUAACAGUAUAGCACUUCCCUGUCUAAGACAUAUUCGACAGCUAUUCUCCUCAGAGUUCUCUUGUCGUUCUCUGUUGCUCGACUAGGGUACUCCCGAUUCUUUACAUACUGUAGAAUACUCUGAUACCAAGGGUGAUCGUCUUUUCCUUGCUCCUCAAUAUUAUAACAAUGAGCUGGGGUUUCAUAGAUACUCAUCUGAAUAGGCCUUAUUACUUCAAGCCUGUUCACCAGAAUCAUCGAAGCUAACGUAGCCAAUGCAUCAGCCAUUUGAUUUUCCUCUCGUGGGAGAUAACUGAAGGUGAUAUCGUCAAACUCGUCAACCAACUCGAGGACCAGCAUUCUAUAACUGAUUAACUUAGGGUCUCCAGUUUCCCUUUCCCCUUUAAGUUAGUAUAUCACCAAUACGGAAUCCCUAUAUACUCUUAGCACUUUGAUGUUCCGCUCGAUGGUUGCGCGAAUGCCCAUAAUACACGCUUCAUAUUCUACCAUAUUAUUUGUGCAAUCAAAGUCUAACUUACUAGCCACAGGGUAAUGAUCUCCACUCGGGGAUACCAGGACUGCCCCAAUUCCAUUACCUAUAGCAUUCGAAGCUCCGUCGAAAUUUCACCUCCACUCAUGAUCCAUCUGAGGAUUUUCUUCAGUGCUUGCUACGCACAUCAAGUCCUCGUUUGGAAAAUCGAAGUUUAAGGGCUCAUAAUCCUCCAAGGCUUUACUUGCCAGGAAAUCAGCUAUUGCACUCCCUUUUAUGACCUUCUGACUUACAUAUACUAUGUCAAACUCAGAGAGCAGGAUCUGCCAUCUAGCCAUUCUCCCAUUUAAGGUAGUUGAUUCCAUCAUAUAUUUUAAAGGAUCCAACCUUGAAAUCAACCAAGUCGUAUGAUACUACAUAUACUGCCUUAGUCUUCGUGUCGCCCAGAUUAAAGCACAACACAAUUUCUCGAUUGACGAAUAUCUCAAUUCACAGCCAGUGAAUUUCUUGCUGAGAUAAUAUAUUGCCCUUUCUCUCUUUCCCGUUUCAUCGUGUUGGCCCAAUACACAUCUCAUGGAAUUCUCGAACACCGUUAGAUACAAUAUUAAUGGCCUAUCCGAACUUGGCGGUGAUAAUACGGGAGUAUUGGUCAAAUAUUACUUUAUCUCGUCGAAAGCUUGCUGACAUUCCUCAUCCCAAUCACCCGGAUUAUGCUUAUUUAAAAAACGGAAUACUGGAUCACAUUUCUCCGUCAAUUAUCCAAUGAAUCGAGUAAUGUAAUUCAGUCUUCCUAGGAUACUUCAGACUUCUUUUUGAGUGCGCAGAGGAGGCAGGUUUCGGAUUGCCUUUACUUCGUUCGGGUCCACCUCAAUCCCCCUCUUACUAACAAUAAAGCCUAAUAACCUCUCUGAUCUGGCUCCAAAUGUGCAUUUUGCAGGGUUAAGUUUGAGCUGAAAUUUCCUCAAUCUCAAAAAUAAUCUUUUCAAGACUUGAACAUGCUCCUCUUCAGUUUUAGAUUUGGCAAUCAUAUCAUCAACAUAGACUUCGACCUCCUUAUGCAUCAUGUCAUGAAACAAGGUCACAAUAGCCCUUUGAUAUGUUGCUCCCGCAUUCUUCAAUCCAAAUGGCAUUACUUUGUAACAAAAUAUUAUUUUUCUUAUAUCCUCAGGGUGCAUCUUUAUUUGAUUGUAUCCAGAAAAGCCGUCCAUGAAAGAGAAUAGUGAGUAUCCCGCCGUAUUUUCUACCAAAGUAUCAAUGUGAGGCAACGGAAAAUUAUCCUUUGGACUAGUCUUAUUCAAAUCCUUGUAAUCCACGCACAUCCGUACCUUUCCAUCUUUCUUGGGAACAGGGACGAUGUUAGUACCCAAUCUGAAUAUUUGAUCUCUUGUAAGAACCUAGCAUUGAACUGCCUUUUGACCUCUUCUUUUAUUUUUAGCUCAACAUCAGGUCUCAUCCUCCUUAACUUCUGCUAAAUCGGUUUACAAUCUUCUUUUAUGGGUAGACGAUGUACCACGAUGCUAGUACUUAACCCGAGCAUAUCUUGGUAUGACCAUGCAAAAACAUCUUUGAAUUCUCGGAGUAAUUCAGUGAGGUCUUGCUUUGUCUUUGCGGCGAUUUCAAUUCUAAUUUUUACCUCAUUUCCCUCCUCUCGGCUCAAAAUUUCUAAUGAUUCCCUAUAAGGUAGGAUUUGCUCAUCCUCUUGUUCUACCAUUCUCGACAAGUCUGGAGAUAUACCACAGUCUUCGUCAUUUUCAAAGUCGUGAGAUUCCUCUAAACACAUGUCUUGCUCAAAAAGAAGCUCCAUGUUUGAAACAGCGUCAUUCAUGUCGUUGAUAUCUGAGGACCUAUAAGGGCAUAUCAAAGAAUAUACCAAAAAUAUAUAAAUUUAUGAAUGAUUAUUUAUACAAUAAGGUUACAAAUGAAAGAAUUAUUUGCAGGACAAUCAAUUAGAAAGUGCUUAUUUGUAUAAAAGAAAAAGAAUAAUUGCUCGAAAUGAAUGUAAAGAUGUAUUUCAUUAGAAUAACGAUGUUCAGGCUCAAGCCUUUUUCACAAAAGAUUUCCUGUCAUUUUCAGGCUUAAACAACAAGAAUGUUCUGAGUAUUACUCUGAAUAAGCCCUAAAGACUACAGGGAUUUCUUCCGCAGUCCAGUUGUUUAGCUCGCUUCCAGUUUCGUAAGGACAGAUCUCUAACGAGGCUUUUUUCUCAGAUGUUUCUAUAGCAUUGAUAUGAACAUUUUCUAACAUCUCUCCAAUGUCUUUGCUUUUGGGCACCCCACGUUCAGGAUGAAUAAAUCCACCCAAUACAAAAGAUGUACAUAUGUGGGGAAAGGACAUAGGCUCCCACUUAACCUCUUUUCCGCUUAAACGUGUCCUUCUUCUCUCUUGUCUUUUUUCUACCUCUUUCUUCUUCUGCUUCAUGUCUGGCUUGUAUCCUAACCCAUAACUGUCAAACUUUUCCUUCAGUAUCGGUGCUUCAAUCUUUCCUUGAAGAUACUUUCCCAAUCCUUUUCCGGGUGAAGCCCCUCUUCCAAAAAUCAAUUGCAGCCCCAUCUCUGUGCUCCUGGGUAUUUUCGGUACUGGAUUUCUGCUUCCUUCAGCAAUAAACAUCGCGUUCACAAAUUCUAAUGACUGAAAAGAGCAUUCCACUGCCUCAUCAUCAAUCUCCACAUAAGGUGCUUCGCCAGUUAUUGUUGCGAUGAUAUCUUCCUCUGUACUUAUUGUUAUCACCCGACCCUCUGAUACUAUCUUCACCUUCUGAUGUAGCGAUGAAGGUACUGCCCCAGCUGAGUGUAUCCAUGGCCUUCCCAAUAAACAGUUGUAGGAAGGCUUAAUAUCCAUCACCAAGAAGUCCACAUCAUAAGUAAUUAGGUCAAUCCUUAACGGUACCUCAAUUCUACCCAUAACCUUCUUUUCAGUUCCAUCAAAUGCCCUUACUAUACUCUGGCUCGCUUUCAUGUGGGAAUUGUCCACGUGUAACCAAAUAAGAGUAGAUAAAGGCAAUACGUUUAGUGCAGAUCCGUUAUCAAUCAGGAUCUCCAAGAGUAUGUACCCUUUGCAUCGGGCAGUGACGUGCAGGGCUUUAGUGGAACCCCUUCCUCUAGAUGGUAUUUCGUCAUCACUAAAGAAGAUAAAAUUGUCAGCAUUUAUAUUGUUGACCAACCGAUCCAGCUUGUUCACCGAAAUAUCAUCCGCCACAUAUAUUUCAUUUAGUACUUUCAAUAGUGCAUUUCGAUAUGCUUCUGAACUUAAGAGCAAAGCUAAUAUAGAAAUGCGGGCUGGCUGUUUGCGUAGCUGUUCCACAACGCUAUAUUCGCUGUGUUUCAAAAAAUUCAGAAAUUCUUUUGCCUCAUCCUCUUUUACUGGUUCAUUAACCAAUGACUCAACUUCCACGGUUUUCUCUUUCUUCUGCUCUCUUUUCUAAUUCUCUUCUCUUGACGGUUCUGCCUGUGCGUCAUAUCGCUUCCCAUUACGUGUGUAAGAACCUAUUUCCUGAUUUCUUUCUGCUUCUUUUCUCAAGAUUGUCACGUUACAUCCAUAAUUCCAUGGUACCAUUUUGUCAUCCUUGUAUGGGAAAUUUGAUGGUUUCUGGAUUAUAAUUUUUGGUGUUGUACGGACACUAGACCCAUCGCUCCGAGGGCGUGAAAUGAUGACCACAGGAUGAUUCAUUUCCGUGGUCUUCGCUGCCAACUCUGAUGCGUAAACAUUUCAUUUACCCUCUGCUUCUUCAUAAAAUCUCAUCUCUUUGUUGUCCAUCAUGCUCUGGACCAAAGCCCUGAAUCCCUCACACUCUUGAAUUUCAUGUCCUGCCUCAUGGUGGAAUUCACAAUAGUUUUCAUCUUCACAUCUUUCUUCAUAAUUUGAAAUAACUAGCCCUCUCAUCGCCAUUUGUCUCCAAACCCACUUCAACGGAGUUUUUACUUCAGUGAUGUCAUUCUUGACCUCUUCUCCCCUACUUUCGCUCAUCAAAUUCACUCCCUUAUCAGUAUGAUUGGGUAGCGAAUUUUCUGCAUUAGGUGAGUCAUCAAACUUAACAACACCCAUGCUAAUAAACUUUUCGACUAGCUUCUUGAAAGCAGUGCAGUUUUUUAUUGAGUGCCCUGUAAUUCCGGCAUGGUAAUCACAUUGGGCGCUCGCAUCGUACCACUUAGGAUACGGGGGUUGCAAAGCGGUCAAGUAAUGGGGAGAAACUACGUGUGUGUUAAACAAAUUCUGAUAUAGCUCUUUGUAUGACAUCGGAAUUGGUGUGAACUGGGGCUUCUCAGUACCCUGCCUCACACCAGAUUCUUGUCUCGUUGAACCCUGUUGACCCGCAAUCACCUUUCUCGGCUGGUUCACCAUAAUUGACUUGUUGUAUGCAUUUAUAUUGCUCACUUCAUUUUCUUUUCUUCUCGAGGCUGACCUUUUAUUGCUUUUUCCUGCUUCUAUUUUCCCGUUUCUUAUGGCAUUCUCAAUCAUUUUACCAUUCAUUACUAUAUCUGAGAAACUUUUGGUUGCACUUCCUAGCAUGUGCAUAAUGAACGGGGCUCUUAAGGUAUUGAUAAAGAGUAUUGUGGCCUCUCAUUCUAAGAGCGGUAGUUGGACUUGGAUGGCAAUUUCCCUCCAUCUUUAUGCGUACUGUCUGAAACUCUCACUUGGUUUCUUCUCCAUGUUUUGUAGUGUAAUUCUAUCGGGGGUCAUAUCCGUUACAUGGCUGUACUGCUUCAUGAAUGCCUGUGCUAGGUCCCUCUAUGAACCAAUCUUGGUACAACUCAAUUGAUUGUACCAUUUAGACGCUGCCCCUACUAAAAUGUCUUAAAAACAGUGGAUUAACAGCUGAUCGUUAUUGACGUAGCCAGUCAUCCUUCUACAGAACAUAGUGAUGUGGGCCUCGGGGCAACUAGUUCCAUUAUAUUUCUCAAAUUCAGGCAUCUUGAAUUUAGGAGGUAGUACCAAAUCUGGGACCAAGCUUAGAUCUUUGGCGUCGAUUCCCUGAUUACUAUCAGCGCUCUCCAAGGCUUUGAACUUUUCUUCCAACCACCUAUACCUAUCCUCCCAUUGUUUUGGUAAUUCUGCGCUUGCUUUUCCUUCUUCAGCUGUUUCAUCAAAAUUCGGAAUAGUGGGAUUGAUUAGGUUUUCUCCCAGGUUUAAACUCGAUUGUCCUUGAAAAUUUGUGGCACCAGUUUGUAAUUGUUGCGGCCUAAUUGUGACGGACGGUCCUCUUUGGUACACUUCAGUUUGGGUUCAUGCAUUUGGUGGCGUGAAACCCGGAGGAUACAAUGGAUCCUCGCUACCCUCUCCAUGAUCGGCCAUAGGGCCCUUUCCUUUAUCUACUCCUCCCGUCAAUAGAUGGGUCAAUUCAGCCAUAGCAUCCUUUUGAGAUUUAAUCAACUUUUCUAUCAUGUCUUCUUGAAUUUUAUCCAAUCGCUCUUGCAUUUAUGCUUGUAAUCGUUCUUGCAUAUCCCACUACAUUUAUUCCAGUUUCUCUAGUCUUUGGUCCAUUUCUUUAGUUUUUUGUCGAGUACCGUAUUGAUGCUUAAUGGGUGAGCUUUUGUUGGUUUCCAGGUUAAUUGUAAUAAUUUAACCAAUUAGGGUCUUUUGGUGGACUUUAAUACAUAUGAUGCAAUGUGAUGCAAUGCAUGAAUGCAAAAAGGUGUCGAUUCUGAUUUAAUUUCAUUUAGAAAGCUUCAUUUGGAUAACAGCAUUCUUUACAUAAAAUAGAUUACAUAUACAAUUUUGCCCUGAUGCUCAGAAUUUUAAUCUUUUUAAGCAGCGAAGCAAGCUCUCUUCCCCGGUCUGAUUUCAGCUCGUACUUUACGCUCAAAGUAUCAGCUUAUAUUGCUAGGGUCUACAAGUAAUCGGCUACCUCCCGAAUCUGGGUCACAGCUUCUCCCAUGACAUGAUCUCUGUCUCUAACUUGGCUUUGAUAAUAAUAGAGCUGUUCUUUCUGACGUUCUUCAUUUUCUUUAAAAAAUGCAAUCCGCGUAUCACAAUCUUGUAGCCUCGCAUCUAACUCUUCCACUCUUUUCUUUGUUUCUUCAAUCUUGUUCAAGCUCGCUCUUAAUUCCAUCGCGGUAUUACGAUUUCGGUAAUGAUGAAGAGACAUUUCAAGUUCAGCUAUUCGUGCCUUUAAUUCAUCUGUCACACCCGGCUUUCUAACAGAAUCCUCUCCAGGGUCUGGUUUUGUAUUUGAGUCUCUUGCCAUUUCUUUUCCCAUCCAUCAGCCUUGUCUCUUUCUUCUUGGAUUUCUAGUCGCCAUUACUCUGAAGUCUUUCCCAGCCCCGCGGUUUUCAUUGAUACCCGUAACUUUUUGUAGUCUGUCUUUAAGCUAUCCAGAUCCUCUUCUACUUUAUUAUUCCCUUUCUUUAAUUUUUCGGCCUCUAACUUUUGGAUGUCCACGUCUAGUCUCAAAUGCAUCUUCUCUUCUUCCAACCGCUCUAUUUUUUUUUGAGUUAUGAAUUCCUCUUUUCGAAAUCUUGUUUUAUAAUCUCCAACUCUGAUGGGACUACUUGUAGGUACUCUUCCAUUGGUCGAACACCCUCCAAGUUUAACUCUGGAAUGUUAUCAUUAAUUCUCUUAUUUCGCCAUUCACUGUAUUCUAGAGUUGUCAUUGAACCCACAGCUAACCUUUUCAUCCUAUGAACCUGAUUCCAAGCCUGAAAAAUUUCUUUCACCCUUCUCUUGUAAUUGUCUCCCCAGUACGAGAACUCACAUUAAGCUAAACCUUGCGUUGUCGGCACAAACUGUCUUGAAUUAUAUUGCCUUAGGACCAACAAAGGUGCAUACCCAACGACUCCCUAAAUCUCUAGCAACGGGACCCAGUCAAAGCUUCCACAACGGUAAAGAAUUUCAUUAGGAAUCAACCAGGGAGCUCUCCAUUCCACAUCAUCAUCUUGAAGAUUUUGCAGGAUUGCUGUCCAAUUUUCUUCUGAUAUGUCGUCCCUUCUUGGCGUAGCCACUAUCUCUUUUAACGGGGAGUAAUGCCCAGAGAAAAUUCGAUACGAAACUUUGUCGACCUUCUAGAAAUGACUACGGAACCAGGCUAACAAUAAUUGCACACAACCUAUGAAUCUGCCUUCCCCAGCUCGCCUACACGCAUUCAGAGAUCUAAACGUUUCAGCUAAAAUCGCAGGAACAGGCGUGACCCCUUUACUCAACCGAUCAAAGAGAUAUGAAACCGCCUCGCCAACAUGCCCCAGCGCUCUAGGGAAGAUCACUAACCCGUAGAUACUCAAAGCAAACACGUCGACCUUCUUUUUCCCAUCCGGAUGCGCUAUAAUCAAGUCCCACAAAUUUUUCCAUGGAAUACAUUUACACUCCCCUUUCUGCUUGAUCCUGGUCGUAAUCCACUGCUCGCUCAUGCCAGUAAUAUUCAUCAGCUUCUUCCAAAAUGUCGGGACGUACGCGGCUCUAGAAUAUGCUUUAUCUACCUGAAGCCUGGGACAAUGUAGUAAAGCUGUAUAUUCCUCUACUGUAGGCACCAGAUCUACUUUGCCAAAAGUGAAACAACUAUAUGCAGGAUUCCAAUAUUGAGCAAGAGCCCGAAACAAUCGCUCAUCUACCCUGACAUCAAGCAAAUACGGCAAAUCUCCAUAAUUGGAAUAGAACAACUGCUUGGUCUCAUCAUUCCACUUAUCCCAUAUUUCUGUCAACUCCUGAAGGCUAUUUUGCGUCACGCUAAUACGAGUGUUGUCCCACAGCUCUGACACAUAAUCUUUAGCUAGACUGUCUCCCUUUUCCAAUUGCACAUUCUCUGACUAUAUACGGACCAUGGCAUUGUCUUCCACCUUAUCAAGAAAGUCGUUCUCCAUGACAAACUUUCUAAUUUUAACAACCGAACUUGAAUCGACACUCUUUUGAAUAUGAAAUGACAUGCAAACAUAUCAAUAAAACACCAUAAGUCAGUAUAACAUAUCAAUAAAAUUGGCAACAAAAUUAAGAGAAACAAGCAUUUACAUGAGCAAUCCUUAGAGUUUGGGGAAUUAUACCUAAGCUGGAUUCCUAGGCUAUCUAUAUGCGGUUUGGUUCUAAAUUCGAGGUACCCGAACCAGCAGAUUCCUCAGUCUUCACCUAUUAUAGACUCAUACAGACCAAGUUCGGUUCAGGGGAAUAUAUUUCCCUAUGGCUGCACGGAGAUGAAAAUCUCACGAAGACAUAGGUACGGAUGUACUCCGAAAGUGAUCCACUAUCCUGCACGGAGGUGAAAACCUCACGAAGGAGUAGCUUCUCACUCCCACUUAAAAAGGGUAAGACUAAAUAGUCUUUAUGCAAUAUGAUGACAAGUUAUAAAACACAAUAAUCAUACAAACAUAUGCAAAGAAAAUAUCAUAAAAUUAAAUAUUUAAAAUUUGACAAUAAGACAAAAACAAUCAAUUUUACGGCCUGACUCUCUUGGUGUCCCCAGCGGAGUCGCCAAGCUGUCGAAACCAUUUUUAAAUUUUGAAAAAACGGAUAUCGACCUUUUUUAAAAAGAAAACUCUGGGACUCGCCACCGAUCUUUUAUUAAGGUGUGAUCGGUUCACCAUUUAAAAUAAAUUUUAGGUCUGCGAAAUUUUAAGAAAACAGGUUCGGGGGUCAGUUACGUACUAGGAAGGGCUAGCACCCUCGUGAUGCCCAAAAUUGGUACCGAAUUGAUUAUUUAAUGCCUUAGUGUCGAGAAUUUGAAAAGAUUUUAAAAUACGAUCUUUGAAGUUUAAAUUUGCGUAAAACAAAAAUGAAUAAUAAGAUGGACUCAUUUUGGAGUAAUAAAUUGCUACACUCAGUGAGUUAGGGUGCAACAAUUCGAUCUUUUAGAAUUAAAUGUAUACCCGUUUUAAGAAAAUCUUGAAUUCGCAGAAGGGUAUUUGAUGAUUUAAAUCGAUCGAGAAAUCCGAACCCAAUAAGUUAGGGAUCAAUUUCCCGAAUUUUUUAAACAUCAAACAUUACCUCCACAUUUAAAAAAAACUUUAAUUCAAGGUAGCAAAGCUGUCAGAUCCAGUGAGUUAGGGUCCAGGCUUCGAAAUCUCGAAAAAAUUAUUUGAAAACUAUGAUUUUAUUUUAAAGGCGUUAUUUACCUAAAUUCGACGAAAAAAAAUAAAGCCCAGUAAGUUAGGGCACAAUUUUCUCGAAAAUCAUCGGAUGUAGGGUAUUCUGAAAACUUAAAAAAAAUUAUUUUAAUACAUUAGUAAAAUGUAGUCUCUUAACAAUAUAACAUGGUUAGAUGUUUUCAUAAAACGCGAAAGGGAAAUUCAAAGACAAAAUAUACAUUAAUGAACGAUAAGCAACCAAUGAACUAACAUGAACGAGCAUGACAAUAAUAGUUUCAAACAUACAUCACAUAAAUAUUAACAUUAGUUAACAAGAGGAGGUUAAUUAAAAUUAAAGCAAAAUCACAUAACUCAAAUGAAACAUAUAAGCUUGAACCUAAUUUAGGGAAUGAAUAAACUAGAGAGUUGAAACAAACUUGAAUAACUUAACAUGUAAAAAAAUGAUUGUUUAAAAAUGUUUGAGGAAAAUAAAAUCUAUUUGAUAGUAUGAAAUUACUAUGGGUUAUAUACGUACGUAGGUAUACAUAUAUAUGAUGAAAAUAAUCAUAGAAUAAGUAAAUAUAUUAUUAUUACAAUAAGGUAUUAUUUGAAAGUGUAUGUUUAUAAAUCUAAAAUAUAAUGAAUGAAUUUACAUAAAAAACCUAAAAUGAAAUAAAUUUAUGAAAUAUUAAUAAUAAAAGUAAUAUGUCAUAAGAAAUGGCUAAUACAUAUAGAUCUUUUUUUUUUUAAAGAAAACUAAAGGAUGCAUGUAAAAUAAAAAUAAAUUAAUGCGUAUAUACGAAAGCAAAUAAGUAUGAAAUAUAACAUCAAACAUAAUGAUGAUAAAUGCAUAUAGUAUAAUACUACUACUAAUAAUAAUAAAUAGAAGAAUAAUAAAAAGGGGUAAAUCACAAUCAAAAUCAAAUCAUCAGGAAAUAAAUGAAAUAUGAAUAAAACGGAGGACCCUACUGCAGUGUGCGAAUUAUAUGGGGGCCGAUUGGGAAAUAUCCCACUUCCCCAAAACGCAACACUUCAUAGUAGGUUAAAAUGGAACGAAAACAAAAUGUGUGGGUUAAAUCAGAGAAGGAAAAGGGACUUGAUUCAAAAGAAAACAGAAAAGGGGAGGGCUGGCCGCGCAAAUAUCCCUCCCUACACCAGAAUGCGCGGGUCAAGCUACGCCUGGGUCAGGUCAUCGGGUCGAGAGCAGGCCAUCUGGCAAUACAAUGCCGUUUUGGGAGCCACUGUUCAGGCCCCAAACGGCACCAUUUAAACCCCCUUAAAAUAGAGAAAUAAAGAAACCCUAAUGGGUUAUUCAGCUACCCUAAAGAAUAACGAAAAAGAAAGAAAACAAGCUUCUCCUCUCUCUUUUUUUUACGCCGUUCUCGGGCUAAACCAUCCACGGGUCCUCCGGUACCUCGACUCCGACGAGAACGACUAUGGGAUCACUGAGGUAAGUAUUCACUCCUUCUUAACUUGUUUUCAUUAUUUGUUAAAAGAAAGUAAAAAAGAACGAAAUCGAGAAAGAAAACAAUAAAAGUGCCGGAUCUACCUUUAAAGAAAACGAGUUUAGAGAAAAGUUCCCUUUUGUAUUCAAUAUUUGUAUGCUUUUUUUGUAUAUUCGAUCGUCCCCCUUUUUUACAAUGUUCUUUGGUCUUUUUAUAGUGUCUAUUUACAAUAAAAAGAAAAUAAAAUUCGAAAUAAAAAUCCACCAAUCGCCCUCGCUCUGCCUUUUUAUUUUUUUCUGUGCCCCUUUUUCGUUUUGUGGUCUGUUUUCUGCUGUGGUUGCUCGUCUUUGGCAGGUACUGUGUGUAGAGGUUGCGGAUGUGGCAUGUACGGAGGCGAAGGCGUGCGUACGAGGCUCGUGUGAGCUGUGCUACGUACGUGCGAGGGGACGUCUGUUGCGGCGCUGGUUGGGGCUGAUGCUAGGGUUUCCUCUUCUAUUGUAAUCGGGUCUGGGCUAGGUUGAUUUGGGCUUGUUAUAUUGGGUUUAGUUUGUAUUUCGGGCCUUUGUAUUAUUUUGGUAACUGAUCUGGGCCAAUUUGUAAAUGGACCUUUUCGAACUGAAUUUAAUAUUUUUCCUUUUUUGUUUUGAUUUUUUUGGUUUUUUUGAAUGGGCCCCGGGCAAAUUGGGCCUGUUACAACACUAUCCCUCGGACUUCUCGUAUAUGAAAUAAGCUAACUUUUGGUA